GAUAGAUUGGUGCCUUCGGGAACGCAGUGACAGGUGCUGCACGGCUGUCGUCAGCUCGUGUUGUGAAAUGUUGGGUUAAGUCCCGCAACGAGCGCAACCCCUAUUGAUAGUUACCAUCAUUAAGUUGGGUACUCUAUUAAGACUGCCGCUGACAAGGCGGAGGAAGGUGGGGACGACGUCAAGUCAUCAUGGCCCUUACGACCAGGGCUACACACGUGCUACAAUGGGUAUUACAGAGGGCUGCGAAGGUGCGAGCUGGAGCGAAACUCAAAAAGGUACUCUUAGUCCGGAUUGCAGUCUGCAACUCGACUGCAUGAAGUCGGAAUCGCUAGUAAUCGCAGGUCAGAAUACUGCGGUGAAUACGUUCCCGGGUCUUGUACACACCGCCCGUCACACCAUGGGAGUGGGUUGCUCCAGAAGUAGAUAGCUUAACGAAUGGGCGUUUACCACGGAGUGAUUCAUGACUGGGGUGAAGUCGUAACAAGGUAGCCGUAGGGGAACCUGCGGCUGGAUCACCUCCUUAA
rnacentral:rRNA from 1 species